rnacentral:rRNA from 1 species
GAACGCUGGCGGCAUGCUUUACACAUGCAAGUCGAACGGCAGCGCGGGCUUCGGCCUGGCGGCGAGUGGCGAACGGGUGAGUAAUAUAUCGGAACGUACCCAAGAGUGGGGGAUAACGUAGCGAAAGUUACGCUAAUACCGCAUACGAUCUAAGGAUGAAAGCAGGGGACCGCAAGGCCUUGUGCUCCUGGAGCGGCCGAUAUCUGAUUAGCUAGUUGGUGAGGUAAAGGCUCACCAAGGCAACGAUCAGUAGCUGGUCUGAGAGGACGACCAGCCACACUGGAACUGAGACACGGUCCAGACUCCUACGGGAGGCAGCAGUGGGGAAUUUUGGACAAUGGGGGCAACCCUGAUCCAGCAAUGCCGCGUGAGUGAAGAAGGCCCUCGGGUUGUAAAGCUCUUUUGUCAGGGAAGAAAAGGUUGCGGCUAAUAUCCGCGGCUCAUGACGGUACCUGAAGAAUAAGCACCGGCUAACUACGUGCCAGCAGCCCGCGGUAAUACGUAGGGUGCAAGCGUUAAUCGGAAUUACUGGGCGUAAAGCGUGCGCAGGCGGUUUUGUAAGACUGUCGUGAAAUCCCCGGGCUCAACCUGGGAAUGGCGAUGGUGACUGCAAGGCUAGAGUUUGGCAGAGGGGGGUAGAAUUCCACGUGUAGCAGUGAAAUGCGUAGAGAUGUGGAGGAACACCGAUGGCGAAGGCAGCCCCCUGGGUCAAAACUGACGCUCAUGCACGAAAGCGUGGGGAGCAAACAGGAUUAGAUACCCUGGUAGUCCACGCCCUAAACGAUGUCUACUAGUUGUUGGGUCUUAAUUGACUUAGUAACGCAGCUAACGCGUGAAGUAGACCGCCUGGGGAGUACGGUCGCAAGAUUA